UACAGAGGUCCCGAGCGUUGUUCGGAUUCAUUGGGCGUAAAGGGUGCGUAGGCGGCGGGGCAAGUCUGAUGUGAAAUCCCGGGGCUCAACCCCGGAACUGCAUUGGAUACUGCCUUGCUUGAGUACUGGAGAGGAGACUGGAAUUUACGGUGUAGCAGUGAAAUGCGUAGAUAUCGUAAGGAACACCAGUGGCGAAGGCGGCGACCUGGGCCAAUAUUGACGCUGAGGUGCGAAAGCGUGGGGAGCAAACAGG
rnacentral:rRNA from 1 species